rnacentral:rRNA from 1 species
GAUAAACGCUGGCGGCGUGCCUAAUACAUGCAAGUCGAACGAGGGGUCCUUGUAGCAAUACGGGGACUUCCUAGUGGCGAAUGGGUGAGUAACGCGUUGGUGACCUGCCCCAAAGAGAGGAAUAACUCCGGGAAACUGGAGCUAAUACCUCAUGUGGUUGCGAGAGUUAAAGGUCUCGCAUCUAAAGGAGUAAUCCGCUUUGGGAGGGGCCUGCGUCCCAUCAGCUAGUUGGUAGGGUAAUGGCCUACCAAGGCUUCGACGGGUAGGGGGCCUGAGAGGGUGGCCCCCCACACUGGCACUGAAACACGGGCCAGACACCUACGGGUGGCAGCAGUAGGGAAUAUUGCACAAUGGGCGAAAGCCUGAUGCAGCAACGCCGCGUGCGCGAUGAAGACCUUCGGGUUGUAAAGCGCUUUUCUGAAGGAAGAGGAAGGACUGUACUUCAGGAAUAAGGAUUGGCUAACUACGUGCCAGCCGCCGCCGUAAGAC